rnacentral:rRNA from 1 species
UACGAAGGGGGCUAGCGUUGCUCAGAAUCACUGGGCGUAAAGCGCACGUAGGCGGCUUUUUAAGUCAGGGGUGAAAUCCUGGAGCUCAACUCCAGAACUGCCUUUGAUACUGGGAAGCUUGAGUCCGGGAGAGGUGAGUGGAACUCCGAGUGUAGAGGUGAAAUUCGUAGAUAUUCGGAAGAACACCAGUGGCGAAGGCGGCUCACUGGCCCGGUACUGACGCUGAGGUGCGAAAGCGUGGGGAGCAAACAGG